CGGGUCUGUGGUUGAAAGUCGAUGCCAGUCGCAGGCGAAGCGAUCCACGUAAGCGGGGCAAAGCCCCCGUGAGCAUGGUGCGGUUUAGAAGUAAGUCCUGUCAGUAAUUAACUGAGACCGCGUGUAGUGAGAGGGGAUAAUCCGGGUAGCGAAAGCGGCAACAGGCGAGUGUGGGGUCAAAGACCAGGUCAGCCGU
rnacentral:ncRNA from 1 species